ensembl:misc_RNA Metazoa_SRP Metazoan signal recognition particle RNA
GCUGGGCAUGGUGGUGCAUGCCUGUAAUCCCAGCUACUCAGGAGGCUGAGGUGGGAGAAUUGCUUGAACCCAGGAGGCGGAGGUUGCAGUGAGCCGAGAUGGCACCAUUGCACUCCAGCCUGGGUAACAAGAGCAAAACCCCAUCUCAA